ACCCGUUCCCAUUCCGAACACGGAAGUUAAGCUCUUUAGUGCCGAUGGUACUGCUCUGGCAGCAGAGUGGGAGAGUAGGUCGUUGCCGGGU
rnacentral:rRNA from 1 species